GGGAAACUUUCUCACCGUCUCCAAUUAAGAGUAAGAAGAGGAUGUGGAAACAGAGCAGAAAAUAUGAACAAAAGAAGAAGAAUAAAGAGGCUGAGGACAGACCUAGGCUAUUCGAAGAAAGCGAAGUUGCUCAGGAUAUCACUGGUUGCAGUUAUCAGCUGGGUGAGUUACAAACAAAUGUGAAUAAUGCUGUUUUAGGGAAAGU